GUAUGUGGCAAUGGAACUUGUACAAAUGACCAGGGAAAUUAUUCUUGUGAUUGCUUUUCGGGGUUUUCUUUUUACCCAUCAAGCGCGAAAUGCGAAGAUAUCGAUGAAUGUUCUAAUACGAGCCACUACAUCUGUGAGAAUGCAGCUGAUUGUACCAAUAGCAUUGGAUCAUGGGAUUGCUCAUGUAGUAAUAACGGCACCGCUGUAAGGAUCAGCAACACUCUUAUAGAAUGUUACGCUUCAAAUUACAAUGUUUGUGCCGAGGAAACAAAUUUGACUUGUGCAAACGGUAACGCAACAUGUAAGCAGAACCUAUGGUCCUGCGAUUGUGACGACGGAUAUCGAACGGAAGGUGUAGGAUUGACUUCGAAGUGUAAAAACAUAAACGAAUGCCAUGAAAAUUCCAUCAUCUGUGGAAAUGGAACCUGUAUCGAUGGCCAAGGAAACUAUUCAUGCAGCUGUAAAUUUGGGUUUGAGAUUAUUU